rnacentral:rRNA from 1 species
UACGGGGGGAGCAAGCGUUGUUCGGAUUUACUGGGCGUAAAGGGCGCGUAGGCGGCCACCGCAAGUCAGUUGUGAAAGCUCUGGGCUUAACCCAGAAAGGUCAACUGAUACUGCGGGGCUAGAGUGCAGAAGGGGCAACUGGAAUUCUCGGUGUAGCGGUGAAAUGCGUAGAUAUCGAGAGGAACACCUGCGGCGAAGGCGGGUUGCCGGGCCGACACUGACGCUGAUGCGCGAAAGCUAGGGGAGCGAACGGG